rnacentral:rRNA from 1 species
AACGAACGCUGGCGGCGUGCUUAACACAUGCAAGUCGAACGCGAAAGGGACUUCGGUCCUGAGUAAAGUGGCGCACGGGUGAGUAACGCGUAGAUAACCUGUCUUCGAGUCUGGAAUAAUACACCGAAAGGGGUACUAAUACCGGAUAUUCUUUCACUUCAUAAGGAGUGCAAGCAAAGGUGGCCUCUGUAUAUGCUACUGCUUGAAGAGGGGUCUGCGUACCAUUAGCUAGUAGGUAGGGUAAAGGCCUACCAAGGCAAUGACGGGUAGGGGGCGUGAGAGCGUGACCCCCCACACUGGUACUGACACACGGACCAGAUGCCUACGGGUAGCAGCAGCUAGGAAUAUUGGGCAAUGGGCGAAAGCCUGACCCAGCAACACCGCGUGAAGGACGACGGCCUUCGGGUUGUAAACUUCUUUUCGAGGGAAUGAGAAAGGACAGUACCCUCGGAAUAAGGCCCGGCUAACUACGUGCCAGCAGCCGCGGUAAGCUAGUCUACG